AAAAAUAAUUAUUUUAAUUCUAUACUUUGAAUGUUUGAUUUUUAGCCAAACUGUUUUAGUUAAAUUGUCUCAAUUAGUAUGAUUCACCAACUUUUCUUUUUUAAUGUGACGAUGGGGAAAAGUCAUUUAUUUUGCUAUUCUUGGUUUUUGUAAUGUAACAGGCUUUUUUCCUUCUAAAUCUAUACACUUAACUGAGUGAUUGGUUAAUCAGUUCGCUGACUGGCUAGCAGUGAUUUCAGUGAGGAAGAGUCUGCCUGGAUUCUAACUGAAGAUUCCUACAAGCAAGAGGAGGGAAGAUGUUGCUUUUGACUCAGCAGACUGGAUAGAUUUGGUGAUCAAAGACUCUAACCAAGACUCAGCCCAAGUUCCAGUGUGCUUCAAGAGCAGCUGUGGAGACUACAAACUGCAUCAUGUUGGGAGAACAGCCUGGUCUCUGCAAGGAAGGCCCUACCAGCAGGAAGCUUCAGCACUGACUGAAGCUGCAAGCAUGAGGUUGGCAAGCAGAGAGGAGGCUGCUGGACUGCAAUCCUGUUCUGUUUCUUUACAGAAUAAAACCUUGUUCCUGGUGGUUUGCCUGAAUGGAUCUGGUCUGAGAUUCCUAGGUGUUUACUGGAACACCACUGGGUACUGUUGACAACUACUCCAGGGAGUACUACGCCACUGAACUUUAAUUAGUAGUGAAAUAUAACCACCAGUAAGUCAAACAGGACUACAGCUUGUUCUUGUAGAAUUUCAAAUCAAUAUCUCACAACUCCCGGUGAGUCAGUAAU